AUGAACGCUAGCUACAGGCUUAACACAUGCAAGUCGAGGGGCAUCAGGGUGUAGCAAUACACCGCUGGCGACCGGCGCACGGGUGAGUAACACGUAUCCAACCUGCCCUUUACUCGGGGAUAGCCUUUCGAAAGAAAGAUUAAUACCCGAUGGCAUAACAUGACCUCCUGGUUUUGUUAUUAAAGAAUUUCGGUAGAGGAUGGGGAUGCGUUCCAUUAGGCAGUUGGCGGGGUAACGGCCCACCAAACCUUCGAUGGAUAGGGGUUCUGAGAGGAAGGUCCCCCACAUUGGAACUGAGACACGGUCCAAACUCCUACGGGAGGCAGCAGUGAGGAAUAUUGGUCAAUGGGCGAGAGCCUGAACCAGCCAAGUAGCGUGAAGGAUGACCGCCCUAUGGGUUGUAAACUUCUUUUAUAUGGGAAUAAAGUCUGCCACGUGUGGCAUUUUGUAUGUACCAUAUGAAUAAGGAUCGGCUAACUCCGUGCCAGCAGCCGCGGUAAUACGGAGGAUCCGAGCGUUAUCCGGAUUUAUUGGGUUUAAAGGGAGCGUAGGUGGACAUGUAAGUCAGUUGUGAAAGUUUGCGGCUCAACCGUAAAAUUGCAGUUGAUACUGCGUGUCUUGAGUACAGUAGAGGUGGGCGGAAUUCGUGGUGUAGCGGUGAAAUGCUUAGAUAUCACGAAGAACUCCGAUUGCGAAGGCAGCUCACUGGACUGCAACUGACACUGAUGCUCGAAAGUGUGGGUAUCAAACAGGAUUAGAUACCCUGGUAGUCCACACAGUAAACGAUGAAUACUCGCUGUUUGCGAUAUACAGUAAGCGGCCAAGCGAAAGCAUUAAGUAUUCCACCUGGGGAGUACGCCGGCAACGGUGAAACUCAAAGGAAUUGACGGGGGCCCGCACAAGCAGUGGAGUAUGUGGUUUAAUUCGACGCAACGCGAAGAACCUUACCAAGGCUUGACAUUGAUUGAACGCUCUAGAGAUAGAGCUUUCCCUUCGGGGACAAGAAAACAGGUGGUGCAUGGUUGUCGUCAGCUCGUGUCGUGAGAUGUUGGGUUAAGUCCCGCAACGAGCGCAACCCUUAUCCUUUGUUGCCAGCGGUCCGGCCGGGAACUCAAAGGAGACUGCCAGUGAUAAACUGGAGGAAGGUGGGGAUGACGUCAAAUCAGCACGGCCCUUACGUCCGGGGCUACACACGUGUUACAAUGGGGGGUACAGAAGGCCGCUACACAGCGAUGUGAUGCCAAUCCCUAAAGCCCCUCUCAGUUCGGAUCGAAGUCUGCAACCCGACUUCGUGAAGCUGGAUUCGCUAGUAAUCGCGCAUCAGCCACGGCGCGGUGAAUACGUUCCCGGGCCUUGUACACACCGCCCGUCAAGCCAUGGGAGCCGGGGGUACCUGAAGUACGUAACCGCAAGGAGCGUCCUAGGGUAAAACUGGUGACUGGGGCU
rnacentral:rRNA from 1 species